GGUCGGUGAUGAGCAGUAAAAGGUCUGAUUACCCACAAUCCUCUCCUGUUGCCCUCUGGCUCCCAGCAGCCCCUGCUCUCAGCUCCCAUCAUGCUCUAGUGGCGCAGUGGUGGUCCCAGGAGCUGCUGACAGACAGGAAGUGACAUCACAGCGAGUCUGUACAGAGAUCCUACAGACUCGCUGUGGGUAACGAACAUCCAACAGAACCAAUCAGCAUGGAGCGCCGGGCGGAGGAGGAGGAGGAGGGAGCUGAUCUCAAGUUUUCAACCUGAGACC